CGCAGCGCGGCCCGGCAGUGCGCUGUAUAUAUAGGCCCCGAACACGCUCCCAAUGCAGUCGUACCUGCCGCCGCCCCUCUGGCCGAGUCCCACCGCUCCGACAAGCGGCGGCGGGAGGAGCGGCCCCGUCCCCGCCCCUCCAGGCCGGACCCGGCAGAUCCUCCCGCCGGAGGCACGGGGCGGUGUUAUGUGUUCCAGAGCCGGUGUGAAGGGUGCAGGUUGGACUGCUCUGUGAGAUACUUAGAAAUUGGCGACAGGACAAAGGGAAACGGCAACAAACUGAAGCCUAUAAAGUUCUGCACAAAUGAUACAGUGCGUGCCAUAGAACUGGCAAUGUCUCAAGAGUACAAGAACCAUCAGCCAAUGCAGUGGUACACAUCCAGCAUGCAACUGGGAUGCUGCCAGCGGGGCUGCAUGGGUGCUGAGACGUGCUCACGGAUCCCACAGGUUAGGUCCAAUUCCUGCUGCAGAACAAAGCCAUGCAGGUUUUGUGACAUAAUUCUUCAUUGUGGUAUGAGAGUAUGUAUGUAAAAUGGAGCAUUUUUUCUGCUAACCUGGAAGAUUCACCAGGUUUCACUCUCAUCACAGAAGUAAAUCAAGCAAUCCAGACUGAACGGCCAAACUUCUGCCUGAAGGCAGAUUAUGAUGACAUUCUGAUUAAAUGUAGUAUUCUUCUGCAUUUUGCCCUGGUGUCAUGUAUAGUUUGUUACUUCCUUCUUCCAUCGGAAAGCACAAUAAGGAUUAAACUACAUUAUUUUGCAUUUGCUCUUUGACUUCUCAUUGUUAAUUUCUUUCUGGAUAAAACUGUUUCGCGAAUAUAUACUUUGCGAAUUGUGCAAGAAAAAAUACACAACACUCACUUCAGAACGUUAUAACAAAAUGAGCUAGUGUAUUUUAUUUCGGUAACAGCCAAGAAAUCUGACAUUUUGCUCAAUAUGGCUUUCUUCUAAAAUUAAAAAGUUGCAUAUUACCUCCAUUUGAGUGCACCAGCUACAGAAAAUCUCCCGUAUACAUCUUCAGUUCACAGCAGCAUCACCAGAGUACAGCUUUCAGUGGAUUUUUCAAGCAGAAUUAUAAGAUAGAAGUUUUAAAAUGUUCAUUUAGAAUAUUUUAUAUUGUUUAUAUGAAAACAUACAAAUUUUUCAUUUAUACAUAUACUACAUAUAAAACUCGUUGUAAUUAGCAAGUAUAUCCAUCUGGGUAUUUACCUUUGUGCAUACAGGGGGAAAAAAAAGUAUGUAGUUAGGGCUUCAGGUGAAAUAUUAAAGGUAGAGACUUUAGUAUAUGCUAACUAAAACCUUAUUUAAACAACUCAAACAAUUGUUCCUGCUUUUAAAAGAUAAAGAGUUUUAGCUUAAAAAUACAUUCAUAAAACAAAGAGACAAUUUUCUCCCUGAGACUACCAGUGUGAGUUACUUUGUGGUAAUCGUUGAAUGAAAAAAUACAAAAGAGACAACAGGCUUUUUCUAUAUGCCGCAGCAAAUUCCUGGAGCAACACCAGCAUCAUAAAAGGUGUAGACUGGAGAAUCAUGCUCACUAGCUGAAAGAAAACCAUGUUCAUAUAUCAGACAAUAAAACUCUUAAUAUAGACA
ensembl:lncRNA